UACGAAGGGGGCUAGCGUUGCUCGGAAUCACUGGGUGUAAAGCGCACGUAGGCGGCUUUCUAAGUCAGGGGUGAAAUCCUGGAGCUCAACUCCAGAACUGCCUUUGAUACUGGAGAGCUUGAGUCCGGGAGAGGUGAGUGGAACUCCGAGUGUAGAGGUGAAAUUCGUAGAUAUUCGGAAGAACACCAGUGGCGAAGGCGGCUCACUGGCCCGGUACUGACGCUGAUGUGCGAAAGCGUGGGGAGCAAACAGG
rnacentral:rRNA from 1 species